CCUACGGGAGGCAGCAGUAGGGAAUUUUCGGCAAUGGGGGGAACCCUGACCGAGCAACGCCGCGUGAACGAAGAAGUUAUUCGUAAUGUAACGUUCUUUUAACAGGGAAGAAAGAGAAAUUUGACGGUACCUGAAGAAUAAGCUCCGGCUAACUACGUGCAAGCAGCCGCGGUAUUACGUAGGGAGCGAGCGUUAUCCGGAAUGAUUGGGGGUACAGGGAGCGUAGGCCGGUCUUUAAGCGUGCCGUGAAUGUUUGUGGCUAAACCAUGAGAGUGCGGCGCGAACUGGAGACCUUGAGUGCGCGGAAGGCAGGCGGAAUUCGUGGUGUAGCGGUGAAAUGAUUAGAUAUCACGAAGAACCCCGAUUGCGAAGGCAGCCUGCCGCAGCGUUACUGACGCUGAAGCUCGAAAGCGCGGGUAUCGAACAGGAUUAGAUACCCCGGUAGUC
rnacentral:rRNA from 1 species